UAAGCGUCCACUGGGACCCACCCUCUGGGGCCGAAUGCGCAAGCGCUCUUCUUCUCCAGUCGGGGUCGGCAUCUCGGUACGCAUGCCUGAGCGGUAGCGGGAGCCUACGGAAUUUCCCGCCGGAAAUUCUGAAGCCCUUACUACCGAGAGCGGGCGCCGCUACCCAGCUAGAGAGGCUCACUUCCGCCCCGUUAAGGGAUGGGGGCGGCCAUCUUGAGUGUGCGUACAAUCAAAAGGCUUUGGCGGGAUUUGUUGCGUGUCGGGACUCUUCUGUUGCUUUCCUACCUACGAGGGUUUCAUCCCGAACCCUUCCCUGCUUGGAGGAGGGCCUGCUGACGGCCGAUUCCUUUGCAGAAGGAACUCUUAAAUUCUGGAAAUAGCGACUCAGUAGCAUGGCCACCCGCCUUAAUGAAGAUCCAGAAGGAAGUCGAAUCACUUACGUGAAAGGAGAUCUUUUCGCAUGUCCCAAAACAGACUCUCUAGCCCAUUGUAUCAGUGAGGAUUGUCGAAUGGGUGCUGGAAUAGCUGUUCUCUUCAAGAAGAGAUUCGGAGGGGUGCAGGAACUGUUAAGUCAACAAAAGAAGUCUGGAGAAGUGGCUGUUCUGAAGAGAGAUGGGCGAUAUAUAUAUUACUUGAUUACAAAGAAACGGGCUUCACACAAGCCAACGUAUGAGAACCUACAGAAGAGUUUGGAGGCCAUGAAGUCCCAUUGUUUGAAGAAUGGCGUCACUGACCUCUCCAUGCCCAGGCAAGGGAACCCGGAUCGAUUGGCCAAGCCUAGAGAAUAGGUGGAGACAGGUCCCUGCUUGUCAGAGCUCCCUACUAAGUGGCAUAUCUGUGGUCUAGCUUAACUGAAUGAAUCAGUUAAGUAAUGGAAGGCACACACCUGCCUCAGCUCCUCUGUGGGGAGUGCUGAUGGCUGAAUUCUUGCCAUUGUGUCUGAAGCGAUAGCCUCUACUCCUAAAGCAUUAGCAUUGAAUCUCAGACUGCAGACUGGGCAGCUGCACUUCCGCUCGGGCUACUGCUGAGCUCCUAAAAUUGGAUUUGGUGUUAGGAAAGUUGUCAGUGACCUCUACCUUUUAUGCUUCAUGCCUGCUUGUGGGGAGCAGUCAGGAUGUCCUUGAUGUCCCUUUGAGGACUUAAAUGACAUUGGUCUUAGGUGACCCUUUACUUCUUCUUGAGGACCUGGUCCAUACCCUUUCUCUUUUUAUUGCCCUAGUAGUUUUUAGUCAGUACUGACCAAAGCCCAAGUGACUUUCAGUGUGACCACAACAUCUCUUCUUUUUAUUUUUUAAUGUGCAUUAGUGUUUUGCUUGCAUGUAUGUCUGGGUGAGGGUGUUGGAUCCCUGGAACUGGAGUUAACAGGCGUUGUGAGCUGUCAUGUGGAUGCUGUAAAUUAGAACCCCUGGUCCUCUGGAAGUGCAGCCAGAGGCCUCUCUCCAGGCCGUCAUCGUUUCUUCAAUAUACUAGUGGCUUAUGUAUCAGAAAGUUAAAAAGUCACUGUUCAGGAACUUGAUUGUCCUGCUGUCGUGUGAAAUUGGCAGGUUUAAGCUUUCCCUUUGUCCCGAGGGCUGUGUCAUAUUAGAAAGUGUCAGGUGGUAGAGUUGACCAUCUGGUUGCAAAGGCCUCAUUCUUGUCACACAGCCAGCAGCAUCUCCGGGCAUUCCGUUUUGACUUCCUUCCUAAGGUCCUCCCUCCUGUGCAUGCUCCCUAACUCUCUAUUAUUUUAAGUAUGUUUUAAACAUAUGGACAUUUUCCUGCCCACUCAAGUCAGUUUUCAUUGAAAGAGUAACUAGGCUAGUGACCUCGUAUCAAAGAGUGAAAUAAUUAGAAAGUACUUAAAAAUAAUUGGAAAGCAAAGAGAUACGAUGGUCGCCCAAGAACUGUCUUGAGUGACUUCACAACAAGAAUCGACCUGGAGAUUUUUCAUCGUGGCUUCCUGUGGGAUUGGAUGUGGUCUGGAUCGGCUGCAGUGGGAAAAUGUAUCUGCGAUUCUCGAAGAGGUGUUUGAGUCAACAGACAUCAAAAUUACUGUGUACACACUCUGAACAGAUGAAGAUCUUGGAUGAGCCCGUGGUCUUUUGUGUCAUCUACGAAGCUGUGGGACUAAGCAGCUGUAGGACCUCAGAAUGGGCAAGGACAGUCUGUGAGAGGGAGUCUCUCCUAGGCCAGAUGUGGGUUUCUGUACUCCAAGAGGAUAGGGAGGGCACUGCACCCAAGCAGGAGGUGAGGUCUGUCACUAGGCAGGAAACCAUGUAGGUAAGUGUAGGACCUGCUUUGCUUAGCCACUACUGGAUUUGUUUGGCUGGCCACUGGGUGGCAGCAUAGGUUCUAAUUUUCUUUUGAAGAGAAAUUGUGGGAAGGGUAAACUUUUGAGAUUUUUUUUUUUAAAACAAUUUUAUGUUUGUGCACUUUGUGUUAAUCUCACCAAAAAUCAUCAUAGGAAAGGAUUAUGGUUUUUAGUUAUGACAUCACAAUGUGUCAAGAGUGGAACAAUAAACGUUUCCCUUGUGUUCACUGA